rnacentral:piRNA from 1 species
UGCAAUGACCAUGAUUGAUUGUUAGGCAGG